rnacentral:misc_RNA from 1 species
GAUGAAGAACGUAGCGAAAUGCGAUAAGUAAUGUGAAUUGCAGAAUUCAGUGAAUCAUCGAAUCUUUGAACGCACAUUGCGCCCGCUAGUAUUCUGGCGGGCAUGCCUGUUCGAGCGUCAUUUCAACCAUCAAGCUCCUUAGCUUGUGUUGGGGACCUGCGGCUGCCGCAGCCCCCGAAAUGCAGUGGCGGGCUCGUUGUCACACCGAGUGCAGUAAUCAUUCUUCUCUCCGGGCGUGGCGGCGGGUUCCGGCCGUAAAAUCACCAAUUUAUCAAGGUUGACCUCGGAUCAGGUAGGAAUACCCGCUGAACUUAAGCAUAUAAUAAGCGGAGGA